rnacentral:rRNA from 1 species
GACGAACGCCUUUAGGCGUGCUUAACACAUGCAAGUCGAACGGAAAGGCCCUGCUUUUGUGGGGUGCUCGAGUGGCGAACGGGUGAUUAACACGUGAGUAACCUGCCCUUGACUUUGGGAUAACUUCAGGAAACUGGGGCUAAUACCGGAUAGGAGCUCCUGCUGCAUGGUGGGGGUUGGAAAGUUUCGGCGGUUGGGGAUGGACUCGCGGCUUAUCAGCUUGUUGGUGGGGUAGUGGCUUACCAAGGCUUUGACGGGUAGCCGGCCUGAGAGGGUGACCGGCCACAUUGGGACUGAGAUACGGCCCAGACUCCUACGGGAGGCAGCAGUGGGGAAUAUUGCACAAUGGGCGGAAGCCUGAUGCAGCGACGCCGCGUGCGGGAUGACGGCCUUCGGGUUGUAAACCGCUUUCGCCUGUGACGAAGCGUGAGUGACGGUAAUGGGUAAAGAAGCACCGGCUAACUACGUGCCAGCAGCCGCGGUGAUACGUAGGGUGCGAGCGUUGUCCGGAUUUAUUGGGCGUAAAGGGCUCGUAGGUGGUUGAUCGCGUCGGAAGUGUAAUCUUGGGGCUUAACCCUGAGCGUGCUUUCGAUACGGGUUGACUUGAGGAAGGUAGGGGAGAAUGGAAUUCCUGGUGGAGCGGUGGAAUGCGCAGAUAUCAGGAGGAACACCAGUGGCGAAGGCGGUUCUCUGGGCCUUUCCUGACGCUGAGGAGCGAAAGCGUGGGGAGCGAACAGGCUUAGAUACCCUGGUAGUCCACGCUGUAAACGGUGGGUACUAGGUGUGGGGUCCAUUCCACGGGUUCCGUGCCGUAGCUAACGCUUUAAGUACCCCGCCUGGGGAGUACGGCCGCAAGGCUAAAACUCAAAGGAAUUGACGGGGCCCCGCACAAGCGGCGGAGCAUGCGGAUUAAUUCGAUGCAACGCGUAGAACCUUACCUGGGUUUGACAUGGAUCGGGAGUGCUCAGAGAUGGGUGUGCCUCUUUUGGGGUCGGUUCACAGGUGGUGCAUGCCUGUCGUCAGCUCGUGUCGUGAGAUGUUGGGUUAAGUCCCGCAACGAGCGCAACCCUUGUUCACUGUUGCCAGCACGUUAUGGUGGGGACUCAGUGGAGACCGCCGGGGUCAACUCGGAGGAAGGUGGGGAUGACGUCAAGUCCUCAUGCCCCUUAUGUCCAGGGCUUCACGCAUGCUACAAUGGCUGGUACAGAGAGUGGCGAGCCUGUGAGGGUGAGCGAAUCUCGGAAAGCCGGUCUCAGUUCGGAUUGGGGUCUGCAACUCGACCUCAUGAAGUCGGAGUCGCUAGUAAUCGAAGAUCAGCAACGCUGCGGUGAAUACGUUCCCGGGGCC